rnacentral:sRNA from 1 species
ACCACCACUGGAACAGAAGCUCUCCACAAGGCAAAAACCUUUGGUUCAUGAUGUAUCCCAGUGCGUGAGGCAUGGUGUGUGCAUAGUAAAGACGUGUUGAAUACAUGAAAGUAUCUACAUAUAAGUAAUAGUUGAGGCUGCCAUGUUCAAUGAAGAGAGUGACCACUGAAGAACAUGGCUAAGAGCAGAACAAUUGGAUUCCCCUUCAUUUAAAGGACUAACAGAAGAAGAAAACCCCAUAAAGGGGGUUGAGAAGGAAAGAACAGAGAGACUGGAAGAAAAGUUUGAGGGAACAGUGUGUUAAAAGCCAAGGGAGGAGAAUAUUUCAAGUAGGAGGUCAAGUCCUAUGAAAAGCCAGAUGAAGGAGCUUCUAUGUACCCUUGUGACGACACAUACUGUGGCCCUUUUCCAGAAUCUGAGCCAGAAGUGAAGGCUGUAGCUAACUUCCUUCGAAAACACAGAAAGCACAUUAGGGCUUAUCUCUCCUUUCACGCAUAUGCUCAGAUGUUACUGUAUCCCUAUUCUUACAAAUAUGCAACAAUUCCCAAUUUUAGCUGUGUGGAAUCUGCAGCUUAUAAAGCUGUGAAUGCACUUCAGUCAGUAUACGGGGUACGAUACAGAUAUGGACCAGCCUCCACAACAUUGUAUGUGAGCUCUGGUAGCUCAAUGGAUUGGGCCUACAAAAAUGGAAUACCUUAUGCAUUUGCUUUCGAACUACGUGACACUGGAUAUUUUGGAUUUUUACUCCCAGAGAUGCUCAUCAAACCCACCUGUACAGAAACUAUGCUGGCUGUGAAAAAUAUCACAAUGCACCUGCUAAAGAAAUGUCCCUGAGACAGCCCAAGGCUCAGGUCAACUGCCAUAGGAUUCUGAGCAAGGCCUACUUGGCCCUGGAUAGAAACUGUUUUCAAAGAGAAGGGCAGCUGCUUAGAGUGAACAUGUGUAUGGACCUUAAAAAGACCCCACGCAAUUUGACUUUGUGGCAAUAGAACACAGUAAAAAACAGGGCAUAGCCUAGUUUGUUAUAA